GUGUUAUUGUAUUUAAAAGAACCAUCUGUAGCAGAAACAAUGGCAUCAAAUUAUCUUUGAAUACCCACUGAAAAAACAUAAAGCUUUUUUUUUUAUUCUUCUUCUGUACGGUGGGGGGAUAGAGCAGUGUUAGGAUAACUGACUUUUUUGUUGUUCUCUGGGUGCAUUCUUCUCGCUCCCCCUCUCUCCCCCUCACCCUCUCUCUCUCUCCCUCUCUCCCUCUCCCUCUCUCUCUCUCUUUUAAAAAAUCAGCCAUUUGGGGUUUUAAGCCAUAAACGAUUUUUCUUGUUGCAGGGGACUGCAGUGGCAAAGCUAGGCUAGGUCUUGGAGGCUGGUGCAAGGCGAAGCGGGUGAAGGCAGGAGGCUGAUGGAGAGACUGGGGGGAAGAAAAGCCGAAAUGGAUUCACGGUGCCUUGGAUGGAGGACGAGAGGGGAAUUGCAGGCUCCUUCAACUCGUUCUGUCCGGUGAGAAGUGAUCAAGCUUGGGCUGACAAGAGGCUCAGGGAGCCCUCACGUUCUUUCGCUUUUUUACCUGCCAAUCAAACUGCUACAAGACAACACCCUGAUCUGGCAUGGACAUCGCGGGUCCAAGCCUGUAGUCCCAAAUCGGAUAUCUCUGCAGCUGAUUGAUAACAAGCAAAAGAGAAGCCAGGCAACAGCCAUAUUAAAGAAGAAAACAAUCAACUCUGAGGUAGAUAUUUUACUUUGUCCGGGCUAAUCACAUUUGGAGAUGAUUAUGCUUUUGAUCUGUUAACCAUGUUUUAGUACAGUAGUAGAG
rnacentral:lncRNA from 1 species